GUUUCAGACUGAACACUGGAGGUGGGAUUCUUGCGGGGGCAGGGAUCGAGUCAAACCUUGGAAAUGACGUCAUUCUGAACUCAUCUGCCUUUAUCCAGAAGACUACCAAAGCAAACCAGAGGACCAGAGAACAGCAGCUGCUCUGGACAAAGAGGGGAGGACACCCACACCCACAUACCAAGUUCUGGUUGACUUCUACAGCAGAAGAAGCAGGAGACACAAGAAGUCUCCUCAGAAGAACAUUGACCAGCACGCCUGCAUCCUUUCUGUUCUGACACACUUGUUACCUGGAUGACUUCUUUCUCAUCACCCACGUGCCAAGAGUGCCAUGUCUCAUCUGGACCAGAGACUCUGAGGAUCACACCAACAGAGACACAAAUGACACUUAAAGAAAGCCACAUCAGCUUUUACAACUUACCCCCCAAUACCGAAUGUCAUCAACUCAAUUUAAAUCAUUGGAUGGUUCUGUUCUCAGGGCCAGAGAGUUUCACUAAACUUCGUCGAACCCUUCGGUAUAACUGUCAACUGUGCAGAGUGUGCUUGGUGUCUGGAUUCUCAGCCUUCAGUGUAAUCAUGUUUACAUCCCCAGGUGUCAGAAAAUUCCCCCUGACCCUUAACCCCCAACCCUUAGCAUGUUGGUGUCUUAGCUUUUACAAUGUCAUUGCUGGACUUGACUGCUUUUCACAAAGGUAGCUGCCCAACUAGCCAUGCCCCAACCAGUACAUUCUUCUUGGUUGCAUUCUUAAAUUCUCAGACUUUUUCUUAACAAAUGUGACAACUGAAUGUUUAUUGGUGUUGGUUUGGACUUCAUUUAAUCCUGUUAAAACCAGUUUGUGUCAGUCACAAUCUGGUGGUUCAUUGAUUGUCCUUCUCUGAAUCCGCUCACCAUCACAUUUGACACCUAGGCUUUCAUUUUUUCCCCCUGAGUCAGGGUUUUUCUGUGUAGCCCUGGGUGUCCCAGAACCUGCUCUGUAGACCAGGUGAACUCAGAGAUUCACCUGCCUCUGCCUUCCAAGUGCUAGAAUUCAAGGUGUGCACCACUACCCUGAGCUUUCUACAUUUUUAUGUCUUUGAAUAUCAAGUUUGCAGUGAGAAAACUGAGGCUCAGGGUGGUGGAGUCACGUGACCAAAGUCUCAAGACUCCAGAGGGGAGCUGAGCUGAGUGGUGAUAAGGGCCUGUGCUUCUGAAACCAGGGCACAUGGCCAGAGCAGAGUAGCAGUCGACAGUGACAAGGACACUAGUGUCACACCCAACAGUCCACUAUGAAGUCACAUACCUGACUCAUGACACCCUAGCAAUACCACCAGCCAAUCCACUUCCUAACAUCUAAGGAUCUCCAAGGACUCCAGCAAAUGGUGGUUUGGGGAGACCAAGGUCCCUAGCACAGAUCUAAGAGUCUCCAUUGUGGAACUUCAAAGUGUUCAGGGUUCUAUCCGGGCAUCCGUUUGACUGGGAAUCCUUUUUUACACUGCUCCAUAUUUGUCCAUUUCAAAAAUGAGAAUAUACUUUGUUCACUGCCUUGAUGAAAUUGAUUUCAGUUUAAUCAGUUGCACCCUGUUUAAUAGACCUGUUAUAAAAGAUGUGCAUUUGUGUCUAUCAAA
rnacentral:lncRNA from 1 species